rnacentral:misc_RNA from 1 species
AACUUUUAGCAACGGUCACUUGGCUCUCCUAUCGAUGAAGAACGCAGCGAAAUGCGAUAAGUAAUGUGAAUUGCAGAAUUCAGUGAAUCAUCGAAUCUUUGAACGCACCUUGCGCCCUUUGGCUAUUCCGAAGGGCAUGCCUGUUUGAGUAUCAUAAACACCUCAACUCUCAUGGUUUGCCAUGAUGAGCUUGGACUUUGGGGGUCUUGCUGGCCUAUGGUCAGCUCCUCUCAAACGAAUCAGCUUGCCAGUGUUUGGUGGCAUCACAGGUGUGAUAACUAUCUACGCUUGUGGUUUUCCACCAGGUAACCUUCAGUGAUGGAGGUUCGCUGGAGCUCAUAAACGUCUCUCCUCUGCGAGGACAACUUUUUGAAUGUUUGAUCUCAAAUCAGGUAGGACUACCCGCUGAACUUAAGCAUAUCAAUAAGCGGAGGCU